rnacentral:rRNA from 1 species
AGAGUUUGAUCCUGGCUCAGGAUGAACGCUGGCGGCGUGCUUAACACAUGCAAGUCGAACGGGAAACCUUUUAUUGAAGCUUCGGCAGAUUUAGAUUGUUUCUAGUGACGGACGGGUGAGUAACGCGUGGGUAACCUGCCUUAUACAGGGGGAUAACAGUCAGAAAUGACUGCUAAUACCGCAUAAGCGCACAGAGCUGCAUGGCUCGGUGUGAAAAACUCCGGUGGUAUAAGAUGGACCCGCGUUGGAUUAGCUAGUUGGUGAGGUAACGGCCCACCAAGGCGACGAUCCAUAGCCGGCCUGAGAGGGUGAACGGCCACAUUGGGACUGAGACACGGCCCAGACUCCUACGGGAGGCAGCAGUGGGGAAUAUUGCACAAUGGGGGAAACCCUGAUGCAGCGACGCCGCGUGAAGGAAGAAGUAUCUCGGUAUGUAAACUUCUAUCAGCAGGGAAGAAUUAGGACGGUACCUGACUAAGAAGCCCCGGCUAACUACGUGCCAGCAGCCGCGGUAAUACGUAGGGGGCAAGCGUUAUCCGGAUUUACUGGGUGUAAAGGGAGCGUAGACGGAUGGACAAGUCUGAUGUGAAAGGCUGGGGCUCAACCCCGGGACUGCAUUGGAAACUGCCCGUCUUGAGUGCCGGAGAGGUAAGCGGAAUUCCUAGUGUAGCGGUGAAAUGCGUAGAUAUUAGGAGGAACACCAGUGGCGAAGGCGGCUUACUGGACGGUAACUGACGUUGAGGCUCGAAAGCGUGGGGAGCAAACCAGGAUUAGAUACCCUGGUAGUCCACGCGGUAAACGAU